GCGCCUUCUUCAACCUCUCCAACAGCAGAGUCCACUUCCUCCACCUUCCGGAAGCUUCUCAUCGCAAGCGCCGUUGCGGCUCCUCUCACGGCUGGCUCGUCAUCCUCCACGAAACCCCCACCGUCCUUCUCGUUAACCCUCUCACACGUGCCAAGCGCCACCUCCCUCCACUCUCCGCCUUCCCCAACGUUGUUCGCUUCGACUAUUCCGAAGUCGGCCGCGAGUACGCGCUCCAAUCCUCGUCCGGAGAUGUCUACACGCGCAGCUUGGCCCAAAUGCGCGAUUCAUUUCUGAAAAAGGUCGUCCUCUCUUCGAGUCCUCUGGAAGCUAGCGGUUUUACUGCCCUAGCGAUUCUCAGUCAAACCGGUGACUUGGCGUAUUGCAGAGACGGAGACCAGUCUUGGACUUUCAUCGACGGCGCCCGAUCUUUCUCCGAGGACGUCAUAUCCGUGAACGGGUUGUUUUACGCCGUGGACAGUAAGGGUGUGGUCGCGGUGUGUGACGUUGAGGGUCCGUCAGCCCCUAGGGUUGCGAUUAUCCCAACGCCGAGGCUAGAUGAUGCCGCCGAUAUGCGAUAUUUGGUGAAUUUGGGGGCCGAUCUGCUGCUGGUGAGUCGGUAUUUGGAGAUUGAACGGUGGGAUAAUACAAAUGUGAAUUACAGAACGACGGGAUUUGUCGUUUUCAG
rnacentral:lncRNA from 1 species